ACGUAUGAGAGUAACUGUUCAUACGUUGACGGUUAUUUAACAGAAAGUCACGGCUAACUACGUGCCAGCAGCCGCGGUAAUACGUAGGUGGCAAGCGUUAUCCGGAUUUAUUGGGCGUAAAGAGAGUGCAGGCGGUUUUCUAAGUCUGAUGUGAAAGCCUUCGGCUUAACCGGAGAAGUGCAUCGGAAACUGGAUAACUUGAGUGCAGAAGAGGGUAGUGGAACUCCAUGUGUAGCGGUGGAAUGCGUAGAUAUAUGGAAGAACACCAGUGGCGAAGGCGGCUACCUGGUCUGCAACUGACGCUGAGACUCGAAAGCAUGGGUAGCGAACAGGAUUAGAUACCCUGGUAG
rnacentral:rRNA from 1 species